rnacentral:misc_RNA from 1 species
GUCGAGACGUGCUUUUCGUCGGGCGGUGCUGGGUUUAGCUAACGUGACGGCGUAUGAGUGGUAAUUGGGUUGUAUCCGACGGCAGGCUCCGUGCUUCGGCAUCGAACUGUCGGCUCGUACCCCGCUUCAGUGAUGCGUCAAAGAUCUGUCUUGCGCGCAAGAUGGGUUUCUGUUUUGGCUACCUAUUGCGAAGGAAUGCUGCCUAUUGUCGUCCCUUUCCUCCUCUCGCUGGCCUUGUCGGUGGGAGGACGACAUCGUAGCGGUGCUCGUGUCCCGGACAAGCCGCACUCGUUGCGAUGCAGUUUCGGUGCUCGAGUCUCCGCUCGACAUCUCGGAUGCGGAACACCAAAGGGGCGGUGGGUCUUUACGGCCUCCGAUCGUCCGCUCGAAGCCUUGUCGCUUGACGCGUACGACUGCCGUGCCCGUCGCGGGACGGCGACCGUCAAGGUCGUCCGUCUGGCGCGGCGCCGGCGUCGAAGAGGAAUGC